UGCUGAAUCAAAUUAAAUAAAUUAAAAUAUUAAAGCAAAAUAAUUUUAUUAGUACAUUUAUAUAUUUAAUCUAACAUAGUACAUAUUGCAGUGGCACUGAAGUAAUUUAAAAAUACAGGAGCAAACAAGGCACUACUGUAUUAUAUUUAUCUUCUUUGAGUGUAAUGUAUUACAUUACUCAUAACUAGGCCUGUGAAUUUGUAAGAAAGUGAAUUUGUAAGAAAGUGAAUUUUUUUAGCUGAAAUUUUGGCUUUCUAAAGACAUAAUUCAUAUUAUGUAACAAAUUCAAUUAUGAAACUUUUUUUUCCAUUUUUAAUAUCACUUUUUGGAUUUUUUUAAGUCAUAUUAUUAUUUUUAGUUCAUUUUACAGGUAUUUUUAAUUAAAUUAUACACAUAUUUUUUGUUUUACACAAGCUGUAUAUGAGUUAAGUAAAGAUACUGAUUAGAUAGAAUAAGGCAAUAUUGCAGAAAUCAACUUAUUCAACAUUCUGUUGCAAUCGGUGCCACUGUUGCAUACAUUUAUUGAUUAUACACAACAUUAAAUACUAUAUAUAAUCAAGAAUGGGCAAGAUUCUUGAAAAAAAAAAGAAUCUAGAUACAAGAUACAUAUACUAGAUAGUGCCCUUCCUUGUAUAUAAUGUUUACAGAACAUUAAAUUAUUAUGUUGUGUGUAUGUAUAUCUAUUAUUAUUCAAUAAAAGAAAAACAAGCCAUACUUCAUACCGUGGGUGGGCAACUGUUGUAGGUGGAUAGCUGAUAAUGCAGAACACAGUUAUUUAAUUUAUAUUCUGGAAAAAAAAAUGUAUUGUUUGAUUCAGCUGGUUACUAGUGAAACUUUUCAAAUUCAUUAUUUUAAGUUAAUACUAAUACCUGUGUAUUAAUUGUUAGUUUAUGUUAUUAUUUAACUUAUAUUAUUUUUUUAAUGAGUAAACUAUUAAAUCUAAAGAAUAAUUUAUUAUAAAGUAUAUAACAAUUCAUUUAGACAUACAAAUUGUAUUUUAUCAAUUUCCAAACCAAUCCUACGAUAAAUAAACAAAAAUUAGUAGAUAAAAGAAAUUAAUUGAGUAAAGUAAGUUUACUAAUUUUUGUUAUCUAGUAACUUUGUCCUAAUUUAUUUUAAGGUUUUUAAUAA